AAUAGAUACCCUGGUAGUCCAUGCCGUAAACGUUGGGCACUAGGUGUGGGGCUCAUUCCACGAGUUCCGUGCCGCAGCAAACGCAUUAAGUGCCCCGCCUGGGGAGUACGGCCGCAAGGCUAAAACUCAAAGGAAUUGACGGGGGCCCGCACAAGCGGCGGAGCAUGCGGAUUAAUUCGAUGCAACGCGAAGAACCUUACCAAGGCUUGACAUGCACGGGAAGCCACCAGAGAUGGUGGUCUCUUUGGACACUCGUGCACAGGUGGUGCAUGGUUGUCGUCAGCUCGUGUCGUGAGAUGUUGGGUUAAGUCCCGCAACGAGCGCAACCCUCGUCCCAUGUUGCCAGCGGGUUAUGCCGGGGACUCAUGGGAGACUGCCGGGGUCAACUCGGAGGAAGGUGGGGAUGACGUCAAAUCAUCAUGCCCCUUAUGUCUUGGGCUUCACGCAUGCUACAAUGGCCGGUACAAAGGGCUGCGAUGCCGUAAGGUGGAGCGAAUCCCAAAAAGCCGGUCUCAGUUCGGAUUGGGGCCG
rnacentral:rRNA from 1 species